rnacentral:rRNA from 1 species
AUUGAACGCUGGCGGCAGGCCUAACACAUGCAAGUCGAGCGAGCGGCGGACGGGGGAGUAAUGUAUGGGGACUGCCCGAUAGAGGGGGAUAACUACUGGAAACGGUGGCUAAUACCGCAUACUAUCGGAUAACCCAUAUGGGAUUAGCUAGUAGGUGGGGGAAAGGCUCACCUAGGCGACGAUCUCUAGCUGGUCUGAGGGGAGGAUCAGCCACACUGUGACUUGGACACUGCCCAUACUCACUGGGAGGCAGCAGUGGGUAAUAUUGCACACUGGGCGCAAGCCUGAUGCAGCCAUGCCGCGUGUAUGAAGAAGGCCUUAGGGUUGUAAAGUACUUUCAGCGGGGAGGCGUUACCCGCAGAAUAAGCACCGGCUAACUCCGUGCCAGCAGCCGCGGUAAUUC